GAUGAACGCUGGCGGCGUGCCUAAUACAUGCAAGUCGAGCGAACAGACGAGGAGCUUGCUCCUCUGACGUUAGCGGCGGACGGGUGAGUAACACGUGGAUAACCUACCUAUAAGACUGGGAUAACUUCGGGAAACCGGAGCUAAUACCGGAUAAUAUAUUGAACCGCAUGGUUCAAUAGUGAAAGACGGUUUUGCUGUCACUUAUAGAUGGAUCCGCGCCGCAUUAGCUAGUUGGUAAGGUAACGGCUUACCAAGGCAACGAUGCGUAGCCGACCUGAGAGGGUGAUCGGCCACACUGGAACUGAGACACGGUCAAGACUCCUACGGGAGGCAGCAGUAGGGAAUCUUCCGCAAUGGGCGAAAGCCUGACGGAGCAACGCCGCGUGAAUGAUGAAGGUCUUCGGAUCGUAAAACUCUGUUAUUAGGGAAGAACAAAUGUGUAAGUAACUAUGCACGUCUUGACGGUACCUAAUCAGAAAGCCACGGCUAACUACGUG
rnacentral:rRNA from 1 species